rnacentral:rRNA from 1 species
UAAUACGGAGGGUGCAAGCGUUGUCCGGAUUUAUUGGGUUUAAAGGGUGCGUAGGCGGCCCUGUAAGUCAGUGGUGAAAGCCUCCAGCUCAACUGGAGAACUGCCAUUGAUACUGCAGGGCUUGAGUACAGACGAGGUAGGCGGAAUUGAUGGUGUAGCGGUGAAAUGCAUAGAUACCAUCAAGAACUCCGAUUGCGUAGGCAGCUUACUAGGCUGUAACUGACGCUGAGGCACGAAAGCGUGGGGAGCGAACAGGAUUAGAUACCCUGGUAGUCCACGCCGUAAACGAUGAUUACUCGAUGUCGGCGAUAAACAGUCGGCGUCUUAGCGAAAGCGUUAAGUAAUCCACCUGGGGAGUACGCCCGCAAGGGUG